rnacentral:lncRNA from 1 species
CGCCGUACCAGCCGAGCGCGAGAGCGCCGAGGUUGGCAUGGCCCGCCCCGCUCGUGCGUCGACUGUUCCAAGACGCGUGCCGGGCCGCAUUCAUGGCCUCGGGACCCACACGGCGCACGGCGCGGACGAGUUUGGCAAAGGCGGAAUAGUCGCGCGCUCCGACGACGGCGUCCCACAAGAGGGCCACAUUGUGCGCCGUGCAAAAGUCUUGUGCCAACACGGCGUCGACAUGGCCACGCCGCGCUGCCGUCGUCGUCGCAGCGUCGACACGCGCCGUGUAGCGACUAUCGCGCGCGCGGCCGCAAUUUGCCAGGCGAGCGCACAGGGCCGCGGUCGCCUCUGCGUGCCCCGCCGCCAGCGCGCAGCACAGGCCGGUGCACAGCGCCGGAAGACGCAUGCCGGUGACGCACACCCUCCCGAGCGCGUCGUCUGCGCACAAGGGGGCGAUGACGCCCGACGCCACUCGCCGCCAAUGCUGGCACGAAUCUAGAGCGCGAGGAGCGCGCUCGACCAGCGUGAUGACGUGCUUCCAGCGGCCCACCGCACCCAGUGCCGCGCACACGCAAUCGAGUGCUGUCAAGGUAUCGUUGUUGGUGUUGUCGUUUAUAUCACCUCUUGCUCCUGAUGAAUUUGACGCGCCUGGGUGCCGUGGUGGGUGGCCAACGAGGCACAUGAGCGCAGCGGUGCGCGCGACCAACGACGCCACAUCGAGAUGCUCAGGCAGCCAAUCCACAAUCUCGACGGGCAGCAGCGUGUGGACGCCACAAUGGCCGCCGACAGCACGCCACCGGCGACACACCAUGAGGGGAACGCAUGGCAUGCGCCCUUUGCCGACAAACAUGAAAAUCAACCAGAGCAUUUCGUCG